rnacentral:misc_RNA from 1 species
AAGUCGUAACAAGGUUUCCGUAGGUGAACCUGCGGAAGGAUCAUUAACACGUAUCCACGUAUCAACCAACCGCGAACUUGUUUUCAACCUAACCUUUAAAGCACAUGAAUGGGGCACUGGAUCAUACUGAGUUUUGAUUGGGACUUAAUCUUUUUGGAUUAAGCCGACUCAGGUCCACGAUUAAUGGCGACGGGCUUAAUUGCCUAGAAACAUUGACCAUUGUAGUGUGAUAGAGGAUAUGCUGCUAUUGGAACCCCCAUCAAGGAGAAGAUAGCAGUAAAAACACAUACUCACCCCCUUUUUGCUAGUUGACUUUAUUAUGUUGUUAUCAUCUUGAUUAAUUUCUCGGUGGUCUCACACGUUUAAUUACUUAAACGAUAGAACAACUCUUAGCAAUGGAUAUCUUGGUUCUC